rnacentral:rRNA from 1 species
GAUGAACGCUAGCGGCAGGCCUAAUACAUGCAAGUCGGACGGGGUCCAUCGGAGAGCUUGCUCGAAGAUGGUGAGAGUGGCGCACGGGUGCGUAACGCGUGAGCAACCUACCUCUAUCAGGGGGAUAGCCUCUCGAAAGAGAGAUUAACACCGCAUAACAUCAACAGUUCGCAUGUCCGGUUGAUUAAAUAUUUAUAGGAUAGAGAUGGGCUCGCGUGACAUUAGCUAGUUGGUAGGGUAACGGCUUACCAAGGCGACGAUGUCUAGGGGCUCUGAGAGGAGAAUCCCCCACACUGGUACUGAGACACGGACCAGACUCCUACGGGAGGCAGCAGUAAGGAAUAUUGGUCAAUGGGCGGAAGCCUGAACCAGCCAUGCCGCGUGCAGGACGACUGCCCUAUGGGUUGUAAACUGCUUUUGUCCAGGAAUAAACCUAAAUACGUGUAUUUAGCUGAAUGUACUGGAAGAAUAAGGAUCGGCUAACUCCGUGCCAGCCGCCGCGGUAACAC